rnacentral:rRNA from 1 species
GAUGAACGCUAGCGGCAGGCUUAACACAUGCAAGUCGAGGGGUAGAGGAAGCUUGCUUCCUUGAGACCGGCGCACGGGUGCGUAACGCGUAUACAAUCUACCUUUUACAGAGGGAUAGCCCCAGAGAAAUUUGGAUUAAUACCUCAUAGUAUUUUUGAAUCGCAUGAUUUGAUUAUUAAAGUUCCAACGGUAAAAGAUGAGUAUGCGUCCCAUUAGCUAGAUGGUAAGGUAACGGCUUACCAUGGCUACGAUGGGUAGGGGUCCUGAGAGGGAGAUCCCCCACACUGGUACUGAGACACGGACCAGACUCCUACGGGAGGCAGCAGUGAGGAAUAUUGGACAAUGGGCGCAAGCCUGAUCCAGCCAUGCCGCGUGACAGGAAGAAGGCCUUCGGUUGUAAGCACUUCAGCGAGGAGGAAGAGU